rnacentral:tRNA from 1 species
GGCCUCCUGGCGCAACGGAUAGCGCGCCGGCCUCCUAAGCCGGGCGUCCGGGUUCGAUUCCCGGGGAGGCCGCCA